rnacentral:rRNA from 1 species
GAUGAACGCUGGCGGCGUGCCUAAUACAUGCAAGUCGAACGGAGAGAUGCGUAGCUUGCUGGUCGGACGUGACGAGUGGCGGGCGGGUGACUAACACGUGAGCAACCUGCCCCCUUCGGCUGAAUAACGGCAAGCAAGUGUGGCUACUACUGGAUAUUCUGACUCUGUCGUUUGAUGGGUAUAGGCGGGAUUUUGUUUCCGUAGGGGAUGAUCCCGCGCCCUAUUAGCUUGUUGUUGAGGUGACGGCUUACCAAGGCAGCGAUGGGUAGCAGACCUGAGGGGGUGAUCGACGACCCUGGAGCUGAGACGAGGUCCAGACUACUACGGGAGGCAGCAGUAGGGAAUAUUACGCCAUGGGCGGCAGACUGCUGGAGCAACGCCGCGGGAGUGAUGAAGGUCUUCGGAUCGUAGAACUCUGCUAUUGGGAGAGAACAAAGGUGUAAGUAACUAUGCACGUGUUGACGGUACCUAAUCAGGAAGCGACGGCUAACUACGUG